rnacentral:rRNA from 1 species
AUAGCGUAUAUUAAAGUUGUUGCAGUUAAAAAGCUCGUAGUUGAACCUUGGGCCUGGCUGGCCGGUCCGCCUCACCGCGUGCACUGGUCCGGCCGGGCCUUUCCUUCUGGGGAGCCGCAUGCCCUUCACUGGGUGUGUCGGGGAACCAGGACUUUUACCUUGAGAAAAUUAGAGUGUUCAAAGCAGGCUUAUGCUCGAAUACAUUAGCAUGGAAUAAUAAAAUAGGACGUGCGGUUCUAUUUUGUUGGUUUCUAGAAUCGCCGUAAUGAUUAAUAGGGAUAGUUGGGGGCAUUGGUAUUGAGUCGCUAGAGGUGAAAUUCUUGGAUUGACGCAAGACCAACUAUUG